rnacentral:rRNA from 1 species
GACGAACGCUGGCGGUGUGCUUAACACAUGCAAGUCGAACGGAAAGGCCCUGCUCUUGUGGGGUGCCCGAGUGGUGAACGGGUGAGUAACACGUGCGUAACCUGCCCUAGACUUUGGGAUAACUUCUGGUAACUGGGGCUACUACCGGAUAGGAGAUCAUGCUGCUUGGUGUGGGCUGGAAAGUUUCGGCGGAUGGGGAUGGAUGCGCGGGUUCUCAGCCUGCUGGGGGGGUCGUGGCUUACCAAGGGUUCGACGGGUAGCCGGCCUGAGAGGGUGACCGGCCACAUUGGGACUGAGAGACAGCCCAGACUCCUACGGGAGAGAGCGGUGGGGGAAAUUGCACAAUGGGCGGAAGCCUGUGGCAGCAACGUCGCGUGUGAGAGGGCGGCCUUCGGGUUGUAUACCGCUUUCUCCUGUGACAAGGCGGGAGUGACGGUAAUUGGUAAAGAAGCACCGGCUAACUACGUG